rnacentral:rRNA from 1 species
GACGAACGCUGGCGGCGUGCUUAACACAUGCAAGUCGAACGGAAAGGCCCUGCUCUUGUGGGGUGCUCGUGUGGCGAACGGGUGAGUAACACGUGUGUAACCUGCCCUUGAAUUUGGGAUAACUUCUGGAAAAUGGGGCUCAUAUCCGGUAGAAGCUCCUGCUGCAUGGUGGGGGUUGGAAAGUUUCGGCGGUUGGGGAUGGACUCGCGGCUUCUCCGCUUGAUGGUGGGGUAGUGGCGUACCAAGGCUGCGAAGGGUAGGCGGCCUGAGAGGGUUACCGGGCACAUUGGGACUGAGAGACGGACCAGACUCCUACGGGACGCAGCAGUGGAGAAUAUUGCACAAUGGGCGGAAGUCUGAUGCAGCAACGCCGCGUGCGGGAUGACGGCCUUCGGGUUAUAAACCGCUUUCUCCUGUGACGAAGCGUGAGUGACGGUAAUGGGUAAAGAAGCACCGGCUAACUACGUG